rnacentral:rRNA from 1 species
GCAUCUUUUUGUUAUUAAAGAAUUUCGAUAACCGAUGGGGAUGCGUUCCAUUAGUUUGUUGGCGGGGUAACGGCCCACCAAGACAUCGAUGGAUAGGGGUUCUGAGAGGAAGGUCCCCCACAUUGGAACUGAGACACGGUCCAAACUCCUACGGGAGGCAGCAGUGAGGAAUAUUGGUCAAUGGACGAGAGUCUGAACCAGCCAAGUAGCGUGAAGGAUGACUGCCCUAUGGGUUGUAAACUUCUUUUAUAUGGGAAUAAAGUGAGCCACGUGUGGCUUUUUGUAUGUACCAUACGAAUAAGGAUCGGCUAACUCCGUGCCAGCAGCCGCGGUAAUACGGAGGAUCCGAGCGUUAUCCGGAUUUAUUGGGUUUAAAGGGAGCGUAGGCGGGCUAUUAAGUCAGCUGUGAAAGUUUGCGGCUCAACCGUAAAAUUGCAGUUGAUACUGGUCGUCUUGAGUGCAGUAGAGGUAGGCGGAAUUCGUGGUGUAGCGGUGAAAUGCUUAGAUAUCACGAAGAACUCCGAUUGCGAAGGCAGCUUACUGGACUGUAACUGACGCUGAUGCUCGAAAGUGUGGGUAUCAAACAGGAUUAGAUACCCUGGUAGUCCACACAGUAAACGAUGAAUACUCGCUGUUUGCGAUAUACAGCAAGCGGCC